GUUUUUGUGUGAACUUCAAGCUUUAGUGAUUCUCAUCUUCUAUAACACCAAGAUGAUAGAACUUUGUGAACCAUUGAUUGUUGUUGGUAUAAAUGUGUAUGGCUUCUAGGAAAGGAAAGGGAGUUGCAAGUUCUUCUCAAGGGGAUGAGGUACAACAAAAAAGGAGGAGAUUGGCUCGGAUUGGUGAGUAGGACUCGGAGGAGGAUGCACCGCCAAGGGGACCAAAGCCGGAUUGGGCAUCCGGUUCAUUGUUAGAACAACCCGCGGAAUGGAGAGAGGAUCUUUUUCACGAACAAAUGAACAAGUUAAAACAAAGGGGAGAAGCGUUUAUUUGU
rnacentral:lncRNA from 1 species